UAACACGUGGGCAACCUGCCCUGCAGACUGGGAUAACUCCGGGAAACCGGAGCUAAUACCGGGUAAUACAUCGCACCGCAUGGUGCAAUGUUGAAAGUUGGCCUUUGGCUAACACUGCAGGAUGGGCCCGCGGCGCAUUAGCUAGUUGGUAAGGUAACGGCUUACCAAGGCGACGAUGCGUAGCCGACCUGAGAGGGUGAUCGGCCACACUGGGACUGAGACACGGCCCAGACUCCUACGGGAGGCAGCAGUAGGGAAUCUUCCGCAAUGGACGAAAGUCUGACGGAGCAACGCCGCGUGAGUGACGAAGGCCUUCGGGUCGUAAAGCUCUGUUGUUAGGGAAGAACAAGUACCGUUCGAAUAGGGCGGUACCUUGACGGUACCUAACCAGAAAGCCACGGCUAACUACGUGCCAGCAGCCGCGGUAAUACGUAUGUGGCAAGCGUUGUCCGGAAUUAUUGGGCGUAAAGCGCGCGCAGGCGGUCUUUUAAGUCUGAUGUGAAAGCCCACGGCUCAACCGUGGAGGGUCAUUGGAAACUGGAGGACUUGAGUGCAGAAGAGGAGAGUGGAAUUCCACGUGUAGCGGUGAAAUGCGUAGAUAUGUGGGAGGAACACCAGUGGCGAAAGCGGCUCUCUGGUCUGUAACUGACGCUGAGGCGCGAAA
rnacentral:rRNA from 1 species